UUCUGAAACACUUUUGAGAAACACUUUUUUUUUUCUCUUUUUUUCUUGUUCUUUUUUCUUUUGGCCGGUCGCCGGCCUCGGCCAUGGCCGGCGACCGGCCAAAAGAAAAAAGAACAAGAAAAAAAGAGAAAAAAAAAAGUGUUUCUCAAAAGUGUUUCAGAAACAAGAAACACAAAAUUUGUGUUUCUUGUUUCU
rnacentral:ncRNA from 1 species